rnacentral:rRNA from 1 species
AACGAACGCUGGCGGCAGGCCUAACACAUGCAAGUCGAACGAAGUCUUCGGACUUAGUGGCGCACGGGUGAGUAACACGUGGGAAUAUACCUUACGCUGGGGGAUAACAUCGGGAAACUGAUGCUAAUACCGCAUACGCCCUUCGGGGGAAAGAUUUAUCGGCGAAAGAUUAGCCCGCGUCCGAUUAGCUAGUUGGUGAGGUAAUGGCUCACCAAGGCUCCGAUCGGUAGCUGGUCUGAGAAGAUGACCAGCCACACUGGGACUGAGACACGGCCCAGACUCCUACGGGAGGCAGCAGUGGGGAAUAUUGGACAAUGGGCGCAAGCCUGAUCCAGCCAUGCCGCGUGAGUGAUGAAGGCCUUAGGGUUGUAAAGCUCUUUCACCCACGACGAUGAUGACGGUAGUGGGAGAAGAAGCCCCGGCUAACUUCGUG